rnacentral:lncRNA from 10 species
CAGGAAUGAAAGUUUAUUAAAAAGUUUUAGAGCAGGAACAAAAGGAAGGCAGGUAUACUUGGAAAGGGCUAAAUGGGCAACUUGAAAGACAAGUGCACGGUUUGACCUUUUGACUUGGGGUUUUUUUACGUUGGCAUACUUCUGGGGUCUUGCGUUACUUCUCCCUUGAUUCUUCCCUUGGGGUGGGUUGUCCACAUGUGUAGUGGCCUGCCAGCACUUACUUGGGAGGUGAGCAUGCAUAGUAUGUUUACUGGAGUUGUAACCAUGCUCACUUGAGGUAUUCUUCCCUUACCAGCCAAAUGCUCCUAGGAGGUCAUUUGCCAAUUAAACUCUGCCAUUUUGCCUCUUAAUGCACAUGCUUGAGCCCACUUGCGCAACUCCUGAGAUCUUAUUGGGAAGCUGCCGAUAACCAGUUUCAGGUUUUUGCUAUCUUUAGGAAGACUGCCUUUACCCGGCACUGGCUGCAACCAAUUAUUAUUUUAGAGAAACAGUUAAAAGCCACUUGAUCAUCACCUGAUGAUCACCUGAUAUUCCCGGUCAGGUGGAGCCCUCCCCUACCCUGCUCAUGUCUGAGUAGCUACCUACUGUAACAGUAUCAAGAAGGGAAGGGAGAGAAAUUUACUGUGAACAGAGGUUGUCUUAAAGCUUCCCAGAUUAUGGCUCCUAGCUUCCCUCAGGAAAUAGAAAAAAAGCCUGUCUGAGCCUUGUGAUGACUCCCAGUCUCUUCAGUUCUCCAGUGGUUAAUCUUUCCUGGUUAUUUGAUGAGAUUCCUAAGGAGGGGGUCUUAAGACAAUUGCAUUUCUUUUGGAAAGAUGCUUUCUUAGUCAAAUAAAGAAAUUCCAGACAGAGUCCCUCCCGGCACUUCUGGAAAGAAGAUCAGAGAGACUGGGAGGCAGGGAAAGGUCAGAGAGAGACCUUGGAUCUGAGGCUUCUCUCUCUUUUUUUAAUAAGAGAUUUGCCACAAGUCAGUUUUCCCUGUGAUAGCUCUUCCAAUACGUCUUUCUUAAAACACCUAAGUUCAGAAGGAUCAUGAGGCCCCUCUCUCAUGAUCUGCAUUCAUACUGAAAAUCAAGAUCAAGCAAGCUUUUGUCCUGCUCUGCAGAGCCUUCCAUCCUCCCUGUGCUCACCUUAUCUUCGUGGCUUAUUUCUGAAGCCUUCCAUUUCCAAAGCACUCAACACGCUGAAGCACGUAUUUUGAAGAGUCAUUUUCUGUGCACCAACACCACCUCAUCCAAUCCUCUGAUUUAAUAGCCAAAAACAAAACAAACAAAAAAAGAUGUCUGGAGAACAGCGACUUCUCUAAGGUCACACAGCACCAUGAUGGAAAUUCUGGUUUCAGUCCAGUGGGUGUUUCAACAUUCCUAAGCAUCUCAGUAUUUCCAUUCCAUUCCUAUAUCGAUGGUUCCACUUGAGGAUUUUCCCUCCUUCCCCUCCCUUCUCCAUCCUUAAAAUUCAUCAUUGGCAGAGCCCUGGAUUUUCUGAGGUUUAAAAGGCUGAAUUUCACAUUGGCAAAACCAUAACAGGAAAUAUGGAAUCCUUCCUUCUCAGAUUACAGUUUUGGAUUAGAAGGUGGGGUGUGCCGUGGUGUCUUUGACUUUCCAAGUGUCCUGAAAUCCCUCAGAUAAAAUCCCUGAGAUGAAAUCCCUCAUCUCAAACCAAUGGCUUUAGUUGACUUUUCUUCCCCUACCAAUUUGACAGAAGGUUUUCAUAGACUCUAGUUCUUGUCCAGGUUUGAGCCUGGUAGACUGAAGACAAGACUAGGAGUUAGCUCUAAGUUAUAGCUCCUGAUCAGGCAAGACUUGGGUUCUGAGAGGUUGCAGGAGAAUGCUUGUGCUACAGAUUCUGUUCUGUGUUUUCCCUGAAUAGCUUGGUGGAAAAUUUUAGGACAAAGCAGUGAGAGAGUGAGAACAAAAUUCAAGCCCAUUUUUUAUUAAAGAAAAGAAAGUAAGGUCUAAGUGUUUAACUGUGUGAAGUUUGAUCCAGUUCUCUGCUUAAAUUUUUAGUGACAAAUACAACUUGAAUUUUAAAUUCUUUUUUCCUCCCUCUGUGUCUCCUUUUUCUUUCUCUUCUUCCCUGGCCUCCUUUUUCUCUCCUUUGCUUCAUUUUUUUCAUGAAUCUCUUAGCAACAACAUGCUGUUUUCAAAAGACCGUUGAAUUAUAAUUGAUGUCUAGGAACAUUUCCACAAGUAUUUUGUAUGACAUAAUUAAUAGGCAAGUUGCCAGUUUAGAUGGGAGUUCAAAUUUCAUAAGCAACUUUAACUCUUCUGUCAAUCAACUUCCACUAGGUCUUUAGCUCUUUGACGGUAAACAUACAUUUUAGAAAUUUAUCUUUGUAUAAAUAAGCAUUUCACUCAGUGUCAUACUUGAGCAUGUUUAGUACCCAUUAAGUGCUUAUUAAACAUUGGUUCAAACAGUGAGAUAAUCAUUUCACAAUUUUUUUUUUUUGAGACUGUGUCUUGCUCUUGUCGCCCAGGCUGGAGUACAAUGGUGCUAUCUCAGCUCACUGCAACCUCCGCCUCCUGGGUUCAAGUGAUUCUCCUGCCUCAGCCUCCCAAGUAGCUGGGAUUACAGGCAUGCACCAGCAUGCCUGGCUAAUUUUUGUAUUUUUAGUAGAGAUGGGAUUUCACCAUGCUGGCCAGGCUGGUCUCCAACUCCUGACCUCAGGUGAUCCACCUGCCUCGGCCUCCAAAAGUGCUGGGAUUACAGGCAUCAGCCACCAUGCUCAGCCCAAUCAUUUCACAUUUUAAAGUGGAAUGUGUGAAAUAGAAAUCAUGUUAAAUAGUUGAUUUACUGAUAAAGUUAAAGUUGUUUCAAGAUGUAGAUAAUUAAUAAAAAUGUAUUGGACUUAUAGUUAAUAGCAAUGUAUUAUAUUCUUGAAAAUUGUUAGGAGUAGAUUUUAAGUGCUCUCUCUACAAAAACAGUAUAUGAGACAACACAUAUGUUAAUUAGCUCAAUUUAGUAUUUUACACUGUGUACUUAUUUUAUAACAACAUGUUAUACGUGAUAAAUAUAUAUAUAAUUUCUAGUUGUCAGUUAAAUAAGUAAAUAAAUGUAUUGGACUAAAAAAUACUUUAUUUCCUUCGUUUUCUAAGACAAUUUAAGUGUGCUAUGGCUGUUUGAAAAACUAGUGUUACUAUUCAGAAUUUCUAAGAGAUCUUAAUCUAGCUCUUAAC